rnacentral:lncRNA from 1 species
ACAGAAAUGUGAGUGCUCAUAUUAAUCAGCUCCAUUGUUAGUUCUUUGGCCAUUAGGAUGAACUCAGGCUUUCUUCAGAACCCUGCUAAUCUGGUUUUGGAAAGGAAGCACGGUCAACAAGCCAAGUUGGGAUUGAACUGGAUGAUCUCCAAGGUUCCUUACUUACAUCUAAUAUCUGCAAACAUGCUGGGAGCCAGCAGGGAGAGAAAGACAAAACAGAGGAAAUAA